rnacentral:rRNA from 1 species
UUGACCUCAAAUCAGGUGGGACUACCCGCUGAACUUAAGCAUAUCAAUAAGCGGAGGAAAAGAAACUAACAAGGAUUCCCUUAGUAACUGCGAGUGAAGUGGGAAGAGCUCAAAUUUGAAAUCUGGCAGUCUCUGCCUGUCCGAGUUGUAAUCUAGAGAAGUGUUGCCCGCGCUGGACCGUGUACAAGUCUCCUGGGAUGGAGCGUCAUAGAGGGUGAGAAUCCCGUCUCUGACAUGGACUACCAGGGCUUUUGUGGUGCGCUCUCAAAGAGUCGAGUUGUUUGGGAAUGCAGCUCAAAAUGGGUGGUAAAUUCCAUCUGAAGCUAAAUAUUGGCGAGAGACCGAUAGUGAACAAGUACCGUGAGGGAAAGAUGAAAAGAACUUUGGAAAGAGAGUUAAACAGUACGUGAAAUUGCUGAAAGGGAAACGCUUGAAGUCAGUCGCGUUGGCCAGGGAUCA